AGCAUGAGUAGCAAUACUUGAUGGCGACCGGCAAACGGGUGAGGAACACGUACACAACCUUCCUUCAGACGGGGAAUAGCCCAGAGAAAUUUGGAUUAAUACCCCAUAAUAUAUUUGAUAAGGCAUCUUAUUAAUAUUAAAGCUUCGGCACUUGAUGAUGGGUGUGCGGCUGAUUAGAUAGUUGGCGGGGUAACGGCCCACCAAGUCUACGAUCAGUAGCUGAUGUGAGAGCAUGAUCAGCCACACGGGCACUGAGACACGGGCCCGACUCCUACGGGAGGCAGCAGUAAGGAAUAUUGGACAAUGGACGAAAGUCUGAUCCAGCCAUGCCGCGUGAAGGAUUAAGGUCCUCUGGAUUGUAAACUUCUUUUAUAUGGGACGAAAAAAGGGCAUUCUUGUUCACUUGACGGUACCAUAUGAAUAAGCACCGGCUAACUCCGUG
rnacentral:rRNA from 1 species